AGCUUCUGAUAUUUUAAAAGAAGUUGUUAACUCUGACGUUGAUAAGGUAACUCUCUUUGAAAUUAAAACGGCUCUGCAUGAGCGAGGUUUUACCAUAUUAAUCAUGCUCUUUGCCUUACCGCUAUCAUUUAUACCAGUACCACCUGGAUUUACAGUUAUACUUUCUAUACCUUUAAUUCUAUUUUCACUGCAACUUUUAUUGGGAUUUAAUUCUCCCUGGAUGCCAAAAUGGCUAGAGGAAAAAUCUUUUCAACGCUCGACUUUAGCCAUUAUGGUAGAAAAAACUUCACCCGCACUAGAAAAAAUAGAAAAAUUUAUGAAACCAAGAAUGUCCUUUAUUUUCUAUGGACCGGGCGAGAAAAUUUUAUCUUUUAUAAUGCUGCUUUCUGCUAUAUUAAUAGCCAUCCCCCUGCCCUUCACUCACUUUGCUCCCGCAAUAGGCAUGACCCUUAUUUCACUUGGUAUCAUGAACAAAGAUGGACUUCUUUCCAUGCUAGGAGUUUUAGUAUCGGCGUGUGGAUUGCUAUUUACUCUCAUUGUAAUUAUAAAAGCACCAAAGCUUAUAAUAGGAACUUUC
rnacentral:lncRNA from 1 species